GCGAGGGUAGCCAAGCCUGGAAACGGCGGCGGACUCAAGAUCCGCUCCCGAAGGGGUCCAAGGGUUCAAAUCCCUUCCCUCGCA
rnacentral:tRNA from 1 species